CAUGUACACAUUACCGCAGUCACUUAUUUAAUUUUAAGGUGUGAAUAAACAAGCUGAACUGUUCUAAAUGCCAUGGGUGCUUCAAUUUCAAGUUUAAGCAAUUCAAACGAAGGCCAUGAUGAGCUACUGCAUCCACCUAAGAUUACAGAUGUGAGCAAUGGGAAGAUCUUCAAGCACAGCAAAUAUGCUAGCCACAAAGGGAGCGACUUCUUCUAUCAUCCCAACAUCAAAAGUUUAGAGACCCAUCCAGCAAGAAGAGGGAACCACUACUGCACCAUCAGUGGCAACCCACAAAAGGACAAUAACAAUCAUGUUUACUUUAUUGACAAACAUAAACAAGAAUUUAUUGAUGACCUUUUAUAAUCUCACCAUGC